rnacentral:rRNA from 1 species
UACAGAGGUGGCAAGCGUUGUUCGGAUUUACUGGGUGUAAAGGGCAGGUAGGUGGUCAUGAAAGUCCAUUGUGAAAUCCUAGAGCUCAACUCUAGAACUGCAGUGGAAACUCCAUGGCUUGAGUGUCGGAGAGGUGAGGGGAAUUCUCGGUGUAAGGGUGAAAUCUGUAGAUAUCGAGAGGAAUACCAGUGGCGAAGGCGCCUCACUGGCCGACAACUGACACUGAGCUGCGAAAGCAAGGGGAGCAAACAGG